rnacentral:rRNA from 1 species
AGCGAACGCUGGCGGCAGGCCUAACACAUGCAAGUCGAAUGGAUCCUUCGGGAUUAGUGGCGGACGGGUGAGUAACACGUGGGAACGUGCCCUUUGGUUCGGUACAACUCAGGGAAACUUGAGCUAAUACCGGAUGAGCCCUUCGGGGGAAAGAUUUAUCGCCAUUGGAGCGGCCCGCGUCUGAUUAGCUAGUUGGUGAGGUAAAGGCUCACCAAGGCGACGAUCAGUAGCUGGUCUGAGAGGAUGAUCAGCCACAUUGGGACUGAGACACGGCCCAAACUCCGACGGGAGGCAGCAGUGGGUAAUCUUGCGCAAUAGGCGAAAGCCUGACGCAGCCGUGCCGCGUGAAUGAUGAAGGUCUUAGGAUUGUAAAAUUCUUUCACCGGGGACGAUAAUGACGGUACCCGGAGAAGAAGCCCCGGCUAACUUCGUGCCAGCCGCCGCUGUAACAC